UACAGAGGUCUCAAGCGUUGUUCGGAUUCAUUGGGCGUAAAGGGUACGUAGGUGGCGCCGUAAGUCAGGUGUGAAAUUUCGGAGCUUAACUCCGAAACUGCAUUUGAUACUGCGGUGCUUGAGGACUGGAGAGGAGACUGGAAUUUACGGUGUAGCAGUGAAAUGCGUAGAGAUCGUAAGGAAGACCAGUGGCGAAGGCGGGUCUCUGGACAGUUCCUGACACUGAGGCACGAAGGCCAGGGGAGCAAACGGG
rnacentral:rRNA from 1 species